AUUCUUUUUUCACAAAUAAAAGUUUGAUUCUUUCUUUAAAGUUUAAAUUUUGAAUUAUUUUAUAUGUAAGAUUUUUCUUUUAUUUCUAAAUGAUUUUUUUUCAGUAUUUAAUUUUGGUUUUUAUUGAAAUAUAAAAUCAGGAUUUUAUUUUAUAACUGACAAAAAUUGUGCCAGCCGUCGCGGUUAUACAAUUAGUUAAAUUAAACUUUUUUGAUUUAAUAUUAAUUUUGUUUUUUAUAAUUUUAAUUUUAAUUUUUAGGUGAAAUUUUUAUUAAUUAUAUUAUUAUUGGUUAAUGAUUUAUAUAUGAAAAUUAUUAAUAAACUAGGAUUAGAUACCCUAUUAUUAUAAUUGUAAAUUUUUCUUAAUAUUAAUAGUUAUGUUCUUUAAAUUAAAAGAAUUUGGCGGUUAUUUAAUCUUUCUAGAGGAACCUGUCCUGUAAUUGAUAAUCCACGAUUGAUUUUACUUUAAUUAUACUUAUAUAUCGCUGUCAUUGAAUGUUUUAUAAGAUUAUUUUCUUAUAUUUUAUGAAUAUAAUGUUAGGUCAAGAUGUAGUUAUAUUAAAGAAGAGAUGGGUUACAUUUAUUUUAUUAAUGAAUUGAAAUUUGUAAUAUUUUUCAUGAAAUUGGAUUUAGAUGUAAUUUUUAUAAAAUAAUAAUUUUGAUUUUAGUUCUAAAUAAUGCACACAUCGCCCGUCACUCCCAUUAUGAGUUGGGAUAAGUCGUAACAAAGUAGGCCUACCGGAAGGUGGGCCUGGUCAGUUC
rnacentral:ncRNA from 1 species